GGGGAUUUAGCUCAGUGGCAUAAGCGCCUGCCUUGUAAGCAGGCAGUCAUGUGUUCAAUCCCUG
rnacentral:tRNA from 1 species